rnacentral:rRNA from 1 species
AUUGAACGCUGGCGGCAUGCCUUACACAUGCAAGUCGAACGGCAGCACGGGUGCUUGCACCUGGUGGCGAGUGGCGAACGGGUGAGUAAUACAUCGGAACGUACCUUAUCGUGGGGGAUAACGCAGCGAAAGCUGUGCUAAUACCGCAUACGCCCUGAGGGGGAAAGCGGGGGAUCGCAAGACCUCGCGCGAUUAGAGCGGCCGAUGCCUGAUUAGCUUGUUGGUGGGGUAAAAGCCCACCAAGGCGACGAUCAGUAGCUGGUCUGAGAGGACGAUCAGCCACACUGGGACUGAGACACGGCCCAGACUCCUACGGGAGGCAGCAGUGGGGAAUUUUGGACAAUGGGGGCAACCCUGAUCCGGCAAUGCCGCGUGAGUGAAGAAGGCCAUCGGGUUGUAAAGCUCUUUUGUCAGGGAAGAAACACCGGCUCUAACACAGUCCGGGAAUGACGGUACCUGAAGAAUAAGCACCGGCUAACUACGUGCCAGCCGCCGUCGUAA